rnacentral:lncRNA from 1 species
GAAAAAGAGUUCGAGGAGUUACAUCUUCAAACUUACGUAUUCCAAUCCCUCCCUCCAUCACAGGUCGAUUCACUUUGUCCCACGAACACCAUUUUUUCCUCGUCCUUCCAUUGAUUUCACCCCAAAAGAGGGAUGAAAGAAUGGAAUUUAACUUCCCAAACACAGAUUUGGGAAUACACAACACAGAUAGUAAGUAUAUGGCCAUACUGAAAAGGACGUAACGAAGAAGCACUAACUUGCCACCUUGUGAUAAUAAACACAUCUUCCAACCCGCAAUUUUCUUCUGAAUUUUACCAAUCAGGAACUCUAAAUGUUGAGCACUUAGCCUUCCUUGAACAACUAGCACCCCCAAGUACAACAUAGGAAAUUGACAUUCUUUGAAGUCGGUCUUCCAUGUAGUAAAGCUUUUUUGUUCCGUAGAGCUAGUUUUUGAGGAAAAAUGGCUGAUUUUUCUUUAUUGAUAAGCUGCCCAAACCAGUCUUCAUACAUAUUCAACACCUCCAUUAAUCUUUUCAUUGACCGUUUACUCCCAUUAGCGAAUAUUACAAGAUCAUCUGCAUACAUUAGGUGAGUAACCAAAGGAACACCCCAAGAAUGAGAAAAGCCCCAAAUAUAUCCAGUAUCAAAGUUUUUCUUUAGCAAUCUAGUCAAAACCUCUUGCAUAAUAAUGAAAAGAUAGGAGAGAGGGGGUCACCCUGGCUUAGACCCCGUCUAGACUUGAAAAAACCAUGAGUGGUACCAUUCAUCAUAAUCGAAAACCAAGGCUUUGUUGUGCAUUGAUCAAUCAACUGACAAAAAUGUUCUGGGAAGCCAAAGGUCUGUAAAACUUGCCUCAAGAAACGCCAAUCCACCCUAUCGUAGGCCUUCGCCAUAUCCACCUUAAACAUUACAUUUCCCCCUCGUACCUUUUUGUUUAUAGAUUGUACUAGCUCUUGUGUAAGAGCGAUAUUUUCGAAAAUGCUUCUCCCAGCAAUAAAAGCCCCUUGCUUCGUUGAUAUAAUUCUUGGAAGUAAGGCAACCAUUCGCGACACCAAGAUUUUUGAAAAAAUCUUAUAGACCACAGAGCACAAACUGAUAGGUUUGAAUUUAUCAAACCCAGCUGGUUUCUCCACCUUCGGGAUGAGGACAAUAAAAGAAGCUGUGUAAAAUCUAGUAAGCUCUCAUCUUCCAAAAAAAAUCUUGCGCCGCUUCAAUCACUUCCUUUUUAACAAUAUUCCAACACUUCAUAAAAAAGCAAGACCCAAACCCAUCUGGCCCGGGGGAACUAUCCAUGGGAGCACAAAGAUAUUGACCCUCUACCUGGGUCAUAGUAUUAUCUAUCAAGCUAGAUAAAUUUGGUACUGUCCCCAUGUGUUCUCAGUAAGAAAUUUUUAAAAGCAUCUUACUGCCUCCAUAUGUAUUUGUUGGGGAGAGGAUAGUCGAGUCCCAUUCUCAAGUAACAUUUGAUCCAGCAUCCUGUUUCUGCAAUGUUGAGCAACUACGGCAUGAAAAACUUUUGUAUUGUUAUCCCCCUCCCUUAGCCAACGUUUCUUAGCUACUUGAGCGAGCUUGAUUUCUUCUCGUUUCUGCCAUUUGGCUAGUUCAAUGUUGGACUCCAAAAAAUCUCGCUCCACCUCAUCCGAGAAUUCCUCUUGAAAUGACUCUUCUAGUAACUCCACUCCCUCCUGCAAUUUUGAUAUAAUGUGGUCAACCCUGCCAAAAACUUGUUUGUUCCAUACUUUUAGGGCCGCUUUAGUCCUUUUCAACUUAGCAGCUAGUCUCUGUAGGCCUUCUGGCUCUACAUCCUGGUUGCAAUCUCUCCAAGCUUCCUUAACACACAUCAUGAAGGAUUCAUGUUCACGCCACAUACGUUGGAAGCGGAAAGGUGGGGGACCAUACGAGACAUUGGGCUGCCUAAAAUGUAUAAGCAAUGGGCAAUGAUCAGAUGUCUCCUUUGCUAGCAAUUUCAAUCUCAUAUUUGGAUACAAACUCGUUGCCAUGACAUUAGUUAAAGUCCGGUCAAGUCGAGCCCAACUCCUUGCUAUUCCAUUUUGUCCGUUACACCAAGAGAACCUCCUCCCCUCCGAAUUUAAUUCCAUCCGCCCAUAUCUAUCAAUACAAU